rnacentral:misc_RNA from 1 species
UCUCCGUUGGUGAACCAGCGGAGGGAUCAUUACAGAGUUGCAAAACUCCCUAAACCAUUGUGAACGUUACCUAAACCGUUGCUUCGGCGGGCGGCCCCGGGGUUUACCCCCCGGGCGCCGCCGGAGGUCUUAAACCCUGAAUUCUAGUGUAUCUCUGAGGAUGAAAAAAAACCAAUUAAAACUUUCAACAACGGAUCUCUUGGCUCUG